rnacentral:lncRNA from 1 species
UUUCAUAUCAUUCAAUACUUCCAUAAUCAAUAAGGAUAAAGGCUGACUGCAUGACAUGUAGCUCAUGAGCAAUACAGUGUUCUGUUUGCUUUUCAACCAAUAUUUGUUUAUUUUCAAUAUGAUUUAUAGAUAUCAAGGAAUAAAGGCAACAGAUAAUGAAGGCAUAAGAAAAGACAUAGUAGGGAAAAUUCUGCAGGAGGAGAGGAAUGUAAACUAUUUUAUUUUUGGAUAUAUUAAAUAUAUCACUCCUAUAAGAUAUUAUGUCAAAUUCAUUACAAUAACUUAUGUUAUUGACAUAUGCCUAUAAUAAGUCAUACUUACACU